rnacentral:tRNA from 1 species
CACUGUGAAGCUAGUCAGCAUUAACCUUUUAAGUUAAAGAUUGAAAGUUUUAAAUCUUUCCACAGUGAG